AUGCAUGUCGGUACGAUCAUGGAGUCGAAUGAUGCGACUUUCUUUGAAGAUAUCUUUCCCAUCAAGGAUAUGGCUACCUCAUCUAAUCAGGAGAUGCCUAGUUCAUCGAAUCAGGAACCAGUUACAAUUACCGAACCUGCCAUUUCGAUGGAACACUUUGAAAGUCCUGUGGAGAAAAACAAUGAAGUUCCUACUAGGAGCAAGAGACAGAGGACUGCAAAGUCCUUUGGUGAUGAUUUUCUUGUGUAUCUCAUAGAUGACACUCCCAGUUCUAUUUCGGAGGCCUAUGCAUCGGAAGAUGCUGACUACUGGAAGGAAGCGGUUCGUAGCGAGAUGGAUUCCAUCUUGGCGAAUGAAACUUGGGAGAUAACUGAUCGUCCUUAUGGGUGCAAACCUAUAGGAUGCAAAUGGGUAUUCAAGAAGAAGCUUAGGCCUGAUGGUACUAUUGAAAAGUACAAGGCUCGGCUCGUGGCUAAGGGUUAUACCCAAAAGGAAGGUGAAGAUUUCUUUGAUACUUACUCACCUGUGGCUCGACUGACCACUAUUCGAGUUCUACUUUCACUAGCUGCCUCACAUGGUCUUCUCGUUCAUCAAAUGGAUGUUAAGACUGCUUUCCUGAAUGGAGAGUUGGAUGAGGAAAUUUAUAUGGAACAACCAGAUGGGUUUGUAAUAGAUGGUCAGGAAGGGAAAGUGUGCAAGUUGCUGAAGUCUUUGUACGGACUCAAGCAAGCACCCAAACAGUGGCAUGAGAAGUUCGAAAGAACUUUAACAGCUGCAGGCUUUGUUGUGAACGAAGCUGACAAAUGUGUGUACUAUCGCCAUGGUGGGGGCGAGGGAGUUAUGCUUUGCUUGUAUGUUGAUGACAUACUGAUUUUCGGAACAAAUCUGAAUGUUAUUAAGGAGGUCAAGGAUUUCCUAUCUCGCUGUUUUGAGAUGAAGGAUUUAGGAGUGGCUGAUGUCAUUCUGAACAUCAAGUUGUUGAGAGAUGAUGAUGGUGGGAUUACAUUGCUUCAAUCUCACUAUGUGGAAAAGAUCUUGAGUCGCUUUGGCUAUAGUGACUACAAGCCCUCUCCAACACCAUAUGAUGCUAGCGUGCUGCUUCGAAAGAAUCGAAGAAUUGCUAGAGAUCAAUUGAAGUAUUCUCAGAUUAUUGGCUCGCUUAUGUACUUAGCCAGUGCUACAAGACCUGACAUCUCUUUUGCUGUUAGCAAGCUAAGCCGGUUUGUCUCAAAACCGGGAGAUGUGCAUUGGAAAGCUCUAGAGAGAGUUUUGCAUUAUUUGAAAGGCACUGUAAAUUAUGGAAUUCACUACACUGGGCAUCCAAAGGUGCUUGAAGGGUAUAGUGACUCAAACUGGAUCUCAGAUGCUGAUGAGAUAAAGGCCACGAGCGGAUAUGUGUUCACUCAUGGAGGUGGUGCUGUUUCUUGGAAACACGUUCAGAGAAGGUUAAAUUAUGUCAGGAAAAUGAGAAACUCCGGAGUUAUUGCAUUGGAUUAUAUCCAAACGUCUAAAAAUCUGGCAGAUCCUUUCACUAAGGGUCUAUCACGUAAUGUGAUAGAUAAUGCAUCGAGGGAGAUGGGUAUGAGACCCACAAUAUGA
rnacentral:rRNA from 1 species